rnacentral:tRNA from 1 species
AUGCGGGUAGUAUAAUGUUGAGUAUGCUGUCUUUCCAAGUCAGGGGUCUCGUUGAUGGGUCCGUGUA